UUCUGAGGAAGUCUGCUUUUUGAAAGCAUGCUUGCAUUUGGCGUAAAGCCACAUAGAAAGAUCCGUUCUCGAGUAAGGCUCGAAAUGUUUGCUUUUAACGUGACGGCGGAAACUCCGCUAGCUGCCUAUGUUGGAGUCAGUAUUAUGACAUAUGGAUUGAAUUUGCAGAAGAAAUUACUGCCAAUUUGAGAAAUCAUUAAUGCAUAAUGGAGCAAUGUGACUAGGCCGCAACAGCGUGGACAUGUGAAGUGUCGGUGAUAAACUCAGAUCGAUGCAGGGUUUUUUGAGGUGGUUGCACAUCCACACGUGGGAAUAAGGGUGGUGUGCUUUCAGAGGAAGGUCGACCAGUGGCCCUUUUGUGACAGAAUGCAUGGAAGAGGUUUCGGUAUGGAUGGAUCUCAGGGACAGCAGUAUAAAAUCAGACUACGAUGACCAAGAAAUCGACAUCCAGAGGUGAAUUCAGGAUUCUUUUGGAUUUGCUGUACAUGUAACAGAUAUUUAGCACGACAUGUAACAAAUGUACUUUAUUAAUAAAGAUUUGUCAAUGAA